rnacentral:tmRNA from 1 species
GGGGACGUAUUGGAAUCGACAGGAAAGAUUAUUGAUACGUAAGCAUGCCGGAGUAAGUUACUCACCUCCGUUAACAACUGGUAAUAACCCUUUUUACAUGGCACAGGUAACUAUGCCAUGGCUGCCUAAGACCAGGUCUUAGAAAGCCGUUGGGCCCCACGUUUGACGUCUGAUACACAACGUGCCGCCCAUCAACCACCUUUCAGACUAGCUGUUUAUCCCGUUCCGAAUAAAUAGCGAAACUUAAGGAUCUAAGGUGUUGGUAUAAGUUUGUUUUAAUACUUUUCCGACACUCGAAAAUCUGAAUUAGAACUAAGCAUGUAGAAGGCGUAUGAAUGCUUUGUCUGGACGCGAGUUCGACUCUCGCCGUCUCCACUG